rnacentral:rRNA from 1 species
CCCUUAGAUGUUCUGGGCCGCACGCGUGCUACACUGAGUGGAUCAGCGGGUCAGGUUGCGCGAAAGUGUUUCCUAAUCUUUAAAUCCGCUCGUGAUGGGGAUUGACGGUUGCAAUUUUCCGUCAUGAACGAGGAAUACCUUGUAAGCGCGGGUCAUCAUCCCGCGCUGAAUACGUCCCUGCCCUUUGUACACACCGCCCGUCGCUCCUACAGAUUGAGUGGUCCGGUGAGGCUUUGGGAUCUGAGCGGAAAGAGCGUUUCGCUGUUUCUGCCCGGAAAACUCAGUCGAACCUUAUCAUUUAGAGGAAGGAGAAGUCGUAACA